GUGCCAGCAGCCGCGGUAAAACGUAGGUGGCAAGCGUUAUCCGGAAUUACUGGGCGUAAAGGGUGUGCAGGCGGGAGGGUAAGUGGUGUAUGAAAUAUCCCAGCUUAACUGGGAGGGGUUAUGCCAGACUGCCUUUCUAGAGGACGAGAGAGGGGGGUGGAAUUCCGGGUGUAGUGGUGAAAUGCGUAGAGAUCCGGAGGAACCCCAGAGGCGAAGGCGGCCCCCUGGCUCGUACCUGACGCUCAGCCACGAAAGCAUGGGGAGCGAACGGGAUUAGAAACCCGCGUAGUCC
rnacentral:rRNA from 1 species